GCUUGCAUUCGGAAGUGCCACGUGGUUGACAGUCUUGCUGCUCUCUUUCCUCCUAGCCCUGGAGAAUUGGCAUCACCUGGAGCUUGCUAGGCUCCUCAGAUCACCACAAACAUUCCACAUCAGAAUCUGGAUCUUUCCUGCCUCCCCAGCAGACAGCUGUUCCCGGGGAGUACCUGAGCUAUGCCUCGUCCAAGCUGUCAGGCGUCAACAUUCGUCAAGCCUUUCGGUUCAGCUGUGCCAUAGCUCCCAAGUCAGCAGUUCUCCGGGCCACCUGUUACCACAAGCUCCAUCAGGACACUUCCAGACAAUCCUUUCCUCAGCUCUGUCCUCCCCCUUCACCCCUACUUAAAGCCCACGGCAAUUGGAAACAACAAAAAUGACUUGUUCAAAAGUAAAUCUCUAUGAAGAAAAGCAAAAAAAAAAAAAAA
rnacentral:lncRNA from 1 species